ensembl:snRNA U1 U1 spliceosomal RNA
AUACUUACCUGGCAGGGGAGAUACCAUGAUCACAAGGGUGGUUCUCCCAGGGCGAGGCUUAUCCACUCCGGAUGUGCUGACCUCUGCGAUUUCCCCAAAUGUGGGAAACUCGAGUGCAUAAUUUGUGGUAGUGGGGGACUGCAUUCAUACUCUCCCCUG